rnacentral:rRNA from 1 species
GAUGAACGCUGGCGGCGUGCCUAAUACAUGCAAGUCGAGCGAACAGACGAGGAGCUUGCUCCUCUGACGUUAGCGGCGGACGGGUGAGUAACACGUGGAUAACCUACCUAUAAGACUGGGAUAACUUCGGGAAACCGGAGCUAAUACCGGAUAAUAUAUUGAACCGCAUGGUUCAAUAGUGAAAGACGGUUUUGCUGUCACUUAUAGAUGGAUCCGCGCCGCAUUAGCUAGUUGGUAAGGUAACGGCUUACCAAGGCAACGAUGCGUAGCCGACCUGAGAGGGCGGACGGAAACAGGGGAAGUUAGACAGGGUCCAGACUCAGACGGGAGGCAGCAGUAGGGAUGAGUCCGGAAGGGGCGAAAGUCUUAAGGGACAACGAGGCGGGAGGAAUAAAGGUGGAAGGAUCGUAAAACGCUGUGACGAGGGAAGAACAAAGGUGUACGGAAAAGUGCAGGCCGGGACGGGAAAUAAUAAGAAAGACAAGGCUAAUGACGUG